rnacentral:rRNA from 1 species
GACGAACGCUGGCGGCGUGCUUAACACAUGCAAGUCGAACGGAAAGGCCCUGCUUUUGUGGGGUGCUCGAGUGGCGAACGGGUGAGUAACACGUGAGUAACCUGCCCUUGACUUUGGGAUAACUUCAGGAAACUGUGGCUAAUACCGGAUAUGAUCUCCUGCUGCAUGGUGGGGGUUGGAAAGUUUCGGCGGUUGGGGAUGGACUCGCGGCUUAUCAGCUUGUUGGUGGGGUAGUGGCUUACCAAGGCUUUGACGGGUAGCCGGCCUGAGAGGGUGACCGGCCACAUUGGGACUGAGAUACGGCCCAGACUCCUACGGGAGGCAGCAGUGGGGAAUAUUGCACAAUGGGCGGAAGCCUGAUGCAGCAACGCCGCGUGCGGGAUGACGGCCUUCGGGGUGUAAACCGAUUUCGCAUGUGACGAAGCGUGAGUGACGGUAAUGGGUAAAGAAGCAACGGCUAACUACGUG